CCAAUGGAGAGUUUGAUCCUGGCUCAGGAUAAACGCUGGCGGCGUGCCUUACGCAUGCAAGUCGAACGAAGCCCCCCGCUUCGGUGAGGGAGACUGAGUGGCAAACGGCUGAGUAACGCGUAGGUGAUCUGUCCCGAGGAGGGGAACAACCCGUGGAAACGCGGGCUAAUGCCCCAUACGCCCACCGGAUCGGACCGGUGGGGAAAUGUUCCGGCGCCUUGGGAGGAGCCUGCGUCCGAUUAGCUAGUUGGUGGGGUAACGGCCUACCAAGGCGACGAUCGGUAGCUGGUCUGAGAGGAUGAUCAGCCAGACUGGGACUGAGACACGGCCCAGACUCCUACGGGAGGCAGCAGCGAGGAAUCUUGCGCAAUGGGCGAAAGCCUGACGCAGCAACGCCGCGUGGGUGAUGAAGGCCUUCGGGUUGUAAAUCCCUUUUGCCGGGGAAGAACUUUGACGGUACCCGGCGAAUAAGCCACGGCUAACUACGUGCCAGCAGCCGCGGUAAGACGUAGGUGGCGAGCGUUAUCCGGAUUUACUGGGCGUAAAGCGUACGUAGGCGGCGCCGAAAGUCUGCCGUGAAAUCUCCCGGCUCAACCGGGAGCGGUCGGUGGAAACUUCGAUGCUGGAGGGGCGUAGAGGCAAGCGGAAUUCCCGGAGUAGUGGUGGAAUGCGUAGAUACCGGGAGGAACACCAGUGGCGCAAGCGGCUUGCCAGGCGCAUCCUGACGCUGAGGUACGAAAGCGUGGGUAGCGAACCGGAUUAGAUACCCGGGUAGUCCACGCCGUAAACGAUGGAUGCUAGUCGUGGGGGGUAUCGACCCCCUCUGUGACGCAGCUAACGCAAUAAGCAUCCCGCCUGGGGAGUACGGCCGCAAGGCUAAAACUCAAAGGAAUUGACG
rnacentral:rRNA from 1 species